rnacentral:rRNA from 1 species
GAUGAACGCUGGCGGCGUGCUUAACACAUGCAAGUCGAACGGUAAGGCCCUUCGGGGUACACGAGUGGCGAACGGGUGAGUAACACGUGGGUGAUCUGCCCUGCACUUCGGGAUAAGCCUGGGAAACUGGGUCUAAUACCGGGUAGGACCACUGCCUGCAUGGGUGGUGGUGGAAAGCUUUUGCGGUGUGGGAUGGGCCCGCGGCCUAUCAGCUUGUUGGUGGGGUGAUGGCCUACCAAGGCGACGACGGGUAGCCGGCCUGAGAGGGUGACCGGCCACACUGGGACUGAGAUACGGCCCAGACUCCUACGGGAGGCAGCAGUGGGGAAUAUUGCACAAUGGGCGCAAGCCUGAUGCAGCGACGCCGCGUGAGGAAUGACGGCCUUCGGGUUGUAAACCUCUUUCAGCACCGACGAAGCGCAAGUGACGGUAGGUGCAGAAGAAGGACCGGCCAACUACGUGCCAGCCGCCGCGGUAA